UACGUAGGGUGCGAGCGUUGUCCGGAAUUAUUGGGCGUAAAGAGCUCGUAGGCGGUUUGUCGCGUCUGCUGUGAAAACUCGGGGCUUAACCCCGGGCCUGCAGUGGGUACGGGCAGACGAGAGUGCGGUAGGGGAGACUGGAAUUCCUGGUGUAGCGGUGAAAUGCGCAGAUAUCAGGAGGAACACCGGUGGCGAAGGCGGGUCUCUGGGCCGUAACUGACGCUGAGGAGCGAAAGCGUGGGGAGCGAACAGG
rnacentral:rRNA from 1 species